rnacentral:lncRNA from 1 species
GCCUCUUAAGGAGGACUUCAGACAGUUUGCCCGGCCAAAUAACAGGCCGGGUCUCCAGACUACAUGAAGAAGAAGGUGCUAUACCUCAAUGCCAAUUGCUUAUAAGCAAAGCAAUGCAAGUUCUUAAGAGAACUGAGCAACUAAGGGUACCUGAAAUCAGUCAAAUAUGAUCAGCAUCCCAACAUAAACAAAACAACAACAAUAAGAAUCAAUCAACAAUCAAACAAUGAUGUGCAUAGCACCAAGUCCAUGUGAACCAAG